GUCUCCUAAAGAUGAGGUUUCCGAUAGCGUGAGCUAGUAAGAGCGCUGAAAGAUGAUAAGGUUGAUAGGUUCGAGGUGGGAGCGUGGUGACAUGUUGAGCUGACGAAUACUAAUAGAUCGAUGACUUAACCA
rnacentral:rRNA from 1 species